CUUCUAGUCUGAUGUCCUCACUUCACCCUCUCUGCAGCCAGAGCUGAGUCUCCCACUCCCCUGGGAAGAAAGGAGCUUUGUCUGCCCAGUAGUCUAGCAGGCAUAGCAAAUGGAGAGGCAGGAACUUUGAAGCCCACCUCCUUCAGGAAGCUUUCUCUGCUUAAGUGCCGCAGAACACUCUUUUUUAACGUUGCACCGCCGGGGAAUGUGAGCUGGACUGUCCAAACGAGAGGACAGGAGCCCCGUCAGACUUGCUUUGUGACUGUCCUGAAUACUUAACACAAUGCUUAGUCCAGAGAAGGGACUCACUAAAUAUUCAUGGAAGGAAGAAAGGAAGAAAUAAGUUCUUCUUAAAACCCAAAGUGCCUUUAUUUUAAAUAAAACAGUACACAACUGCCAGUACAUGCAGGUGGAUAGCAAUGAACUGUGAUGGGAGCGGGUCCAUGACUCUGCAUCCCAGGCUCCCUUUGUUUCUCUGCAACUGUCUCUAAGUUGAAAUGCAGAGCCAAACCCACCCAUUUUCUAAAUGAAGAAACUGAGGUCCCCAAAGGAAAAAUGACCUGUCUAAGCCAGAACGGACACCAAGGCUAUUGUUUAUGUGGUCUGUGGAGACAGAGAAUUCACACAGGGUCAGCGCACAGAAGCACUGGAUGAAUGAAGCGUUGGAGGGAGUGGGCAGGGGAGGGGGACUUGUUGAUUCCCAGGCUGCGUGGGCCAGGCAAGAGUCGAGAGCAACACCGGUGAGGAAGGAUGCCACACCAGAAUCAAAGAAGAUAAAUACAUCAUUUAAACCAAGAGUCUCCAGGAGUGGCAAGAUUCAGGCUGGAGAGAAAGAGAAGGCAACGCAGAGCCAGCUUCAAGGAAAGCCUCCAGUGGGUGCAUAGAAUGGGGAGCACACACAGCAAGGGACCAGGGAGGAUGUCCUCCUCAGCGACCCACUACUCUGGAGAGGAGGGACCCUGGCUACAAAGACGUCUUCUGGGGAUUCCUCCCAAUCGACGCUUUUCAAAAUGCUGGCACAAGCCCAGCUGGAGACAGCUCUGGAAGCUGCCAUCACAUCCUGUUCCUCCUCCCAGAACCCUGCUUGGCCUCGCUGGCUGGGGAUUUAUGCCCUCUUUGCCAAGCCGCCCUGACGAAUUGCUUCCAGGAUGGCAGUGAAGUCAAUGGUAUUCAUCUCCCCGAUGUCUCAACCUUCUCCUUUAAAUCAUUGCUCAUGUUGGCAGCCGUUUGUUCGCUCCUGACAGCCUGGCCUGGGCCUAGCUGCUCCAUUAGCGAGACUCUCAGCCAGAGAAGAGCCUGCUGGAUUUGGCAGGGGCUAGAGGAGCCUCUGUAACCUUUCCCUCAAAGGCCAUCCCUUCUUUACCUGGCCAAGCUUGCAUUUGGUCACCUAAAGUCAGGAAGCCAAGCCUAGAGUCCCAAAGGAUCCCUCUGUCAGGCAUACCUCUCACCUAUCACUUACCGUAUUAUAUAAAACUUAUCUGUUAAUAUCAUUACCAGGCUAUUAGCACUUCCAGGCCAUGGACGUGCAUGCUUUCUCUCGGUAUUCCCAAUGCCUCGUGGAGUGCCUGGCUCAUAAUGGGUGCUCAGUGACUGUUUGAUAAACAACGUGUUUAAAUUGUGGAGUGGAUGCAACCUCUUUGGAAAAACUAUUUGGCAGUCUCUGGUGAAGCUAACCAUACCUGUGCUGUAUGACUCACUGGAGUUUAUAUCCAACAAAAAUGAGCGCUUGUGUCUACCAAAGACAUGUACAAGAAUGUUCACGGCAACCUUAUUCCUAUAGACCUAAACUAAAAACUGCCCAAAUGUCCAUCAACAGCAAAAUAGGCAAAUAAAUUACAGCAUGUUUAUUCAAUGAUUCGAUUGCAUUCGUGUUAAUGCAGCAAUGAAAAAGGACAAAGUACUAUUCAUACAAUAUGGAUGAAUUUCACAUUUAAAAUGUCAAACAGAAGAUGCCAGACACAAAAGGGUAUAUAGUGUAUCAUUACAUUUAUAUGAAAUUCCAAGACAUGUAAAAGUUAUCUAUGAUAAUUAGAGGUCAGAAUGGUUAUCUUGGAGAGGUGGAUGGUGGUGGUAGCUAUUGACUGGAAGGAGAUACGAGGAAGCCCUUUAGGGUAUAGGAAAUGUUCUAAAUUUUGAUCUGGGUGGUGAUUAUACAUGUGUCUACAUAUGUAAAAAUUCGCUGGGCUAUACACUUAUUACCUGUAUACUUUAUGUAAGUUAAACCUUAUUAAAAAUGAGAAAGAAAACCUGAUGUGAUUCUCAAUCAUUUUGUAAUCUGUGCCUCAAUAUAAUUGUCUCCCACUACUACGUAUUUAAAACCAGAUAAAACGGUUAUAUUGAGUUGUCUCUAUCUUUUAGAUUAUGAAAACAAUUUAUAUAUUCCACGUGGAUUUUUUAACUACUCAAGAGGAUGCCCUCUAGAAAUUUUAAACAUAUUACUCCCUGCUUCCCAACACCCUGAGUGCAAAUCACCACAUUCGAGAAUAUUUACUUCUUAGCACAAAAGAGACUCAUUGCUUCCCAAGACUAUGUGUCAUUAGAGUGAGAUUGUAGGUACUAAGAAGACUUAGCAGCUCCUAAAGAUAUGGGAGUGGGGAGGGGUAGG
ensembl:lncRNA